rnacentral:other from 1 species
CGAAUCCUGAUGUGUUCGUUUUAUUUCAAUCGAUUUUGACCGAACAAUACUAUCGUCGGGAACUUUUCUUUUAUGGUAGCGAGCACGCCCCCAGGGGACGCUUUAAGUCAUAAAGAGGGUACCCACCUGCUGAGUGCGGGUUCAAAACGAUAUGCUUUCAAUGACGGCACGAUUGGGAUUCGU